GGGAUCUUCUCGGUCUUGCCUAUUUAAAGUAACCCCGAAAUCUCAGCCAGUAAAACAAUGCUAUCACCCAAGGACAUCAGUCUGCUAUUCUUCAAGGUUUGAUCUACGAUGACAGGGCCACAAAGACUACCCCCUAACUGCCAAUGCAGACAGUGGAGUCCUCAGAAGGGGCACCCCGACUAUUGGUUUCGGUGGUGUCUUGUAUAAAGAGGAGAGGAUGCAACAUUAGUUCCAUUGAUUGUCGUCAAGAACUGAAACUAAUGAAUUAGAUAUUGGGUAUUUUCUAUCAAUAGAAGCUAGGAUUUGUCAAAUUAACAUACUACGGUACCCAGAAAAACCCUGUGCACUUCUAGCUAACCAUUCCAGAUUGGUAACAAUGAACAACAUUCAAGGAAUUGUUGUAAUUGUGUAAAGUACAGAGAUUUAUUUGACAGUACAGUGAUGUUAUUUCUGAUUCACAGAUGUACAGUAAAGUACUGAUUGGUAGACCUGUAUAUGAGUAGUUGUGAUAAUAUCAGAGUUGUAUAACAAAGCCCAGUAGGUCAGCAGCAGAUCAGCCCCAGAUUAACAAGUACAUUUCUACUGAAGCAGGAUUUAAGCCUUGUUUUAAUGUUCUAGUGUAUUAACUGACGUAAAUGAAUGACAUUCUUUACAUAUGUAGGGCAUAUAUGUGUCCAGGUUCUGAACUUGUCCUAAUUACCCGAGCUCGUGUAGUCUGUUCUGUCAAGAUCUCCAAGUAUGCAAUUAAUUAUCGAAACUCAACGGUGACUGCCAACCAAGUCACAGACAAAAAAAAUUGGACACUAUUC
rnacentral:sRNA from 1 species